AAAGAAACCAGGAUGCAGAAAGCUGCACAGAAGGUCCCUGCCUUUGUCUGAAAGCUGCUUACAUGGAUUGAGCCAACUUACUCAGAUGAGGCCAUGACACAAUUCUUCUUUCCAAAAGAAAUGAAGGAUGAAGAGAUAAUGCAGAAAACUCUUGCUCUGAACUUCAGCAAGUCGGCCUGCCCCACUGACAGCCUAAAGAGUUAGCUCCUGCGGUCUCUAUCCCUGGCUCCUGCUGUUCACAUGGAAUCCAGGAAAGAAAGAGGGUGGAUGCCAGCAGACAGAUGUCUUGAGUGCCUACUGCUGGGCCUGACAGGAGGAAGCAAGACCUAGUGAGACCUCCACUUACUCCCUAUGACAUGCUGGAGCAGCUAGCCAUGGAUCUUGUGCCAUAUAGUUAACUCUCUCAGCAAAAAUGAUCACCCCAUAGAGUCAGGUGAGUAGAGCUAGAAGGCAGCUUCUGAAAUGGUGCUCAAAAUGGGUUCUAGUGGUUCUGGUGAGAGGCCAUCAAGGCCUGGCUUAACUUAAAUGUUCUUCUGCUGAAGUUGCUGCUUCUGGGAUGACUAGCCAGAGAGAGAAGGCAGGGGAAUUUUCUGGCAGAGCUGAGCUGGCUGUCAGAGAGCUGCUAUUCACUGUUGUUCUCAUCUCUUUAGUCCAGUGAUGAAGAAAGCUUUUCAUAUUACUUUGUAAAUUCGAAUAAAUAUAUUUAGGCCUUCUGGGCUUAUCUAGC
rnacentral:lncRNA from 1 species